rnacentral:rRNA from 1 species
AGUGAACGCUGGCGGUAGGCCUAACACAUGCAAGUCGAACGGCAGCACAGUAAGAGCUUGCUCUUACGGGUGGCGAGUGGCGGACGGGUGAGGAAUACAUCGGAAUCUACUUUUUCGUGGGGGAUAACGUAGGGAAACUUACGCUAAUACCGCAUACGACCUACGGGUGAAAGCAGGGGAUCUUCGGACCUUGCGCGAUUGAAUGAGCCGAUGUCGGAUUAGCUAGUUGGCGGGGUAAAGGCCCACCAAGGCCACGAUCCGUAGCUGGUCUGAGAGGAUGAUCAGCCACACUGGAACUGAGACACGGUCCAGACUCCUACGGGAGGCAGCAGUGGGGAAUAUUGGACAAUGGGCGCAAGCCUGAUCCAGCCAUACCGCGUGGGUGAAGAAGGCCUUCGGGUUGUAAAGCCCUUUUGUUGGGAAAGAAACGCAGCAGGUUAAUACCCCGCUGUUCUGACGGUACCCAAAGAAUAAGCACCGGCUAACUUCGUG